GGCCAGGCAGAAGCAGCAUGGGUUUCCACUCACACGAUUUAUCUACUGCUCGUGAAAUCUCUGGAUUUAACUGUGAUGAAAGACCGGAGGCUGAAGGAGAACUUCAAUAUCAUAUAUUUUAAAGGUUGACUCACAGUUUGGAACAAGAAUUAAAGAACCACGAACUUCAAGUCUGGAUGAAGUGCUUCAUGCCUGUAAUCCAAGCACUUUGAGAGGCUGAGGCGGGCAGAUGGCUUGAGCCCAGGAGUUUGAGACCAGCCUGGAAAACAUAGAGAAACCCCGUCUCAAUAUAAGAAGAAGAAGAAAAAGAAAAAAAAAAAAUCAAAAACGAAAACAACACAAAUUUUAGAGUGAUGUAAAAUUCUCAAACAAUGAGAUAGAUAAAAAGUACGCAGCCAAAAAGUGCAGGAAGAAGUGUUAUGGAGAUGGAGCAGGCCCUUCGUAAAAACACGAUGUUGGUUUUCUGGAUUUUGGAGGCCUCACAAAACCUGGAUCAGACUCGCCCACUGCCCUGUGUCUGCCCUCCCGACCCCCUCUCCUGCCCAGCAGGGAUGUGGGUGGCAGUGGUGCUGUGUGGAGGGUGGCGGGAGGACC
rnacentral:lncRNA from 1 species